rnacentral:rRNA from 1 species
CCACAUUGGGACUGAGAUACGGCCCAGACUCCUACGGGAGGCAGCAGUGGGGAAUAUUGCACAAUGGGCGCAAGCCUGAUGCAGCGACGCCGCGUGCGGGAUGACGGCCUUCGGGUUGUAAACCGCUUUUGACUGGGAGCAAGCCCUUCGGGGUGAGUGUACCUUUCGAAUAAGCACCGGCUAACUACGUGCCAGCAGCCGCGGUAAUACGUAGGGUGCAAGCGUUAUCCGGAAUUAUUGGGCGUAAAGGGCUCGUAGGCGGUUCGUCGCGUCCGGUGUGAAAGUCCAUCGCUUAACGGUGGAUCCGCGCCGGGUACGGGCGGGCUUGAGUGCGGUAGGGGAGACUGGAAUUCCCGGUGUAACGGUGGAAUGUGUAGAUAUCGGGAAGAACACCAAUGGCGAAGGCAGGUCUCUGGGCCGUCACUGACGCUGAGGAGCGAAAGCGUGGGGAGCGAACAGGAUUAGAUACCCUGGUAGUCCACGCCGUAAACGGUGGAUGCUGGAUGUGGGGACCAUUCCACGGUCUCCGUGUCGGAGCCAACGCGUUAAGCAUCCCGCCUGGGGAGUACGGCCGCAAGGCUAAAACUCAAAGAAAUUGACGGGGGCCCGCACAAGCGGCGGAGCAUGCGGAUUAAUUCGAUGCAACGCGAAGAACCUUACCUGGGCUUGACAUGUUCCCGACAGCCGUAGAGAUACGGUCUCCCUUCGGGGCGGGUUCACAGGUGGUGCAUGGUCGUCGUCAGCUCGUGUCGUGAGAUGUUGGGUUAAGUCCCGCAACGAGCGCAACCC